CUUCCAGUAGCACCCUAGAGACCAACUAAGUUUGUUAUUGGUAUGAGGUUUUGUGCAUGCACACGAAAGCUCAUACUAAUAACAAACUUGGUUGGUCUCUAAGGUGCUACUGGAAG